rnacentral:rRNA from 1 species
GGGUCAGUAGGUUGGUCGUGCCACCGGUACGUACUGGUCUCACUGAUUCCUCCUUCCUGAAGAACCGUAAUGCCAUUAAUCUGGUGUUGCGGGGAAACAGGACUGUUACUUUGAAAAAAUUAGAGUGUUUAAAGCAAGCUAACGCUUGAAUACAUUAGCAUGGAAUAACGAAAUAGGACGAUCGAUCCUAUUUUGUUGGUUUCUAGGAUUGACGUA